UACAGAGGGGGCAAGCGUUAUUCGGAAUUAUUGGGCGUAAAGGGUGCGUAGGCGGCCUGGCAAGUGACGGGUGAAAGCCCUCGGCUCAACCGAGGAACUGCCUGUCAUACUGCCGGGCUUGAGUCCGGGAGAGGUGAGUGGAAUUCCCAGUGUAGCGGUGAAAUGCGUAGAUAUUGGGAGGAACACCAGUGGCGAAGGCGGCUCACUGGACCGGAACUGACGCUGAGGCGCGAAAGCGUGGGGAGCAAACAGG
rnacentral:rRNA from 1 species